rnacentral:rRNA from 1 species
UACAGAGGUCUCAAGCGUUGUUCGGAUUCAUUGGGCGUAAAGGGUGCGUAGGCGGCGCGGUAAGUCGGGUGUGAAAUCUCGGAGCUUAACUCCGAAACUGCAUUCGAUACUGCCGUGCUUGAGGACUGGAGAGGAGACUGGAAUUUACGGUGUAGCGGUGAAAUGCGCAGAUAUCAGGAGGAACACCGGUGGCGAAAGGCGGGGUCUCUGGGGAAGUAAACUGACGCUGAGAAGCGAAAGCGUGGGUAGCGAACAGG